rnacentral:rRNA from 1 species
GAUGGGCGAAGCCUGACGCAGCCAUGCCGCGUGAAUGAUGAAGGUCUUAGGAUUGUAAAAUUCUUUCACCGGGGACGAUAAUGACGGUACCCGGAGAAGAAGCCCCGGCUAACUUCGUGCCAGCAGCCGCGGUAAUACGAA